UUCGCCUUGUGCCAGCAGCCGCGGUAAUUCCAGCUCUAAUAGCGUAUAUUAAAGUUGUUGCAGUUAAAAAGCUCGUAGUUGAAACUUGGGUCUGGCUGGCAGGUCCGCCUCACCGCGUGUACUUGUCCGGCCGGGCCUUCCUUCUGGAGAACCUCAUGCCCUUCACUGGGCGUGUUGGGGACCAGGACUUUUACUUUGAAAAAAUUAGAGUGUUCAAAGCAGGCCUUUGCUCGAAUACGUUAGCAUGGAAUAAUAGAAUAGGACGUGCGGUCCUAUUUUGUUGGUUUCUAGGACCGCCGUAAUGAUUAAUAGGGACAGUCGGGGGCAUCAGUAUUCAAUUGUCAGAGGUGAAAUUCUUGGAUUUAUUGAAGACUAACUACUGCGAAAGCAUUUGCCAAGGAUGUUUUCAUUAAUCAGUGAACGAAAGUUAGGGGAUCGAAGACGAUCAGAUACCGUCGUAGUCUUAACCGUAAACUAUGCCGACUAGGGAUCGGGCGAUGUUCUUUUUCUGACUCGCUCGGCACCUUACGAGAAAUCAAAGUUUUUGGGUUCUGGGGGGGAGUAUGGUCGCAAGGCUGAAACUUUAAAGAAAUUGACGGGAAGGGCACCACCAGGCGUGGAGCCUGCGGCUUAAUUUGACUCAACACGGGGGAAACUCACCAGGUCAAGAAUGAAAUAAGGAUUGACAGAUUGAGAAGCUCUUUCUUGAUUUUUCAAGGUGGUGGUGCAUGGCCGGUUCUUAGUUGGGUGGAGUGAAUUAGUCUGCUCAUAGCGAUAACGAACGAGACCUUAACCUGCUUAAAUAGCCAGGCUAGCUAUUGGCUUGGAUCGCGGCCAU
rnacentral:rRNA from 1 species